rnacentral:rRNA from 1 species
UACGGAGGGUGCAAGCGUUAAUCGGAAUUACUGGGCGUAAAGAGUGCGUAGGCGGCUUGAUAAGCGGAGUGUGAAAUCCCCGGGCUUAACCUGGGAACUGCAUUCCGAACUGUCAAGCUAGAGUAUGAUAGAGGGUGGUGGAAUUCCGAGUGUAGCGGUGAAAUGCGUAGAUAUUCGGAGGAACACCAGUGGCGAAGGCGACCACCUGGAUCAAUACUGACGCUGAGGUACGAAAGCGUGGGGAGCAAACAGG